rnacentral:rRNA from 1 species
AGAGUUUGAUUCUGGCUCAGGANNAACGCUGGCGGCGUGCCUAACACAUGCAAGUCGAACGGGACCAGGGGCAACUCUGGUUCAGUGGCGGACGGGUGCGUAACACGUGAGGAACAUGACUUUCGGCGGGGGAUAGCCGGCCCAACGGCCGGGUAAUACCGCGUACGACCUUUCGGGGACAUCCCCGGUUGGUGAAAGCAGCAAUGCGCCGAAAGAGUGCCUCGCGGCCUAUCAGCUAGUUGGUGAGGUAAUGGCUCACCAAGGCAACGACGGGUAGCUGGUCUGAGAGGAUGGCCAGCCACAUUGGGACUGAGACACGGCCCAGACUCCUACGGGAGGCAGCAGUGGGGAAUAUUGCGCAAUGGGCGAAAGCCUGACGCAGCGACGCCGCGUGUGGGAUGACGGCCUUCGGGUUGUAAACCACUGUCGGGAGGGACGAAUGCGCCGCAAGGCGAGUGACGGUACCUCCAAAGGAAGCACCGGCUAACUCCGUGCCAGCAGCCGCGGUAAUACGGAGGGUGCAAGCGUUGUCCGGAAUCACUGGGCGUAAAGGGCGCGUAGGCGGCCUGAUAAGUAGGGGGUGAAAUCCUGCGGCUUAACCGCAGGGCUGCCUUCCAAACUGUCAGGCUAGAGCACGGUAGAGGCAGAUGGAAUUCCCGGUGUAGCGGUGGAAUGCGUAGAGAUCGGGAAGAACAUCAGUGGCGAAGGCGGUCUGCUGGGCCGUUGCUGACGCUGAGGCGCGACAGCGUGGGGAGCAAACAGG